GAGUUUGAUCCUGGCUCAGAACGAACGCUGGCGGCGGGGCUUAGGCAUGCAAGUCGAGCGAGAAAGGGGCAACCCGAGUAAAGCGGCGUAAGGGUGAGUAAUGGGUAGCUAACGUACCCUCCAGACGCGAAUAAUUUCCCGAAAGGGAUUGUAAUGCGCGAUGAGACCACAGGCGGUUUGCCGCCAGGGGUCAAAGGCUGGGGAUCCUUCGGGACCCGACGGCUGGGGGAGCGGGCGACCUCCGAUUAGCUAGUUGGCGAGGUAAUGGCUCACCAAGGCGAUGAUCGGUAGCCGGGCUGAGAGGCUGUCCGGCCACACUGGCACUGAGACACUGGCCAGACUCCUACGGGAGGCUGCAGUCGCGAAUUUUUCACAAUGGGCGCAAGCCUGAUGAAGCCACGCCGUGUGCGGGAUGAAGGCUCUUUGAGUUGUAAACCGCUGUCAAGUGGAGGGAACCGUACGGUGUUAACAGCGCCGUGCCUGACU
rnacentral:rRNA from 1 species